GCCAUUACAGGUGGAACCUCACGGAAGUGCUAGGGAAAUUCUUGGUCGAACGGACAGAAACGACAUAUAAGGCUUCAGUUGCUGGAUGAGGCUGCCAAACAAAUCGAAAUCCUAUACUGUACAAAAGGAUCAAGGUAAAUGUAGCAGACACAUGAGAUGAGAGUUCUCGUC
rfam:Sphingobacterium sp. JB170 genome assembly, contig: Scaffold12